ACGUAGGUGUCAAGCGUUAUCCGGAAUUACUGGGCGUAAAGGGCACGCAGGCGGCUUGUCAAGUCCGACGUGAAAGCUCCCGGCUUAACUGGGAGAGGUCGUAGGAAACUGAUGAGCUUGAGGGAGUGAGAGGGAGGCGGAAUUCCCGGUGUAGUGGUGGAAUGCGUAGAUAUCGGGAAGAACACCAGUGGCGAAAGCGGCCUUCUGGCACUUCUCUGACGCUGAGGUGCGAAAGCGUGGGUAGCGAACGG
rnacentral:rRNA from 1 species